rnacentral:rRNA from 1 species
GAUGCGGCAUACCCGAAGCUGAGUGAUCUAUCCAUGGGCAGGCUGAAGCGGAGGUAAGACUUCGUGGAGGGCCGAACCCACGUCGGCUGAAAACGGCGGGGAUGACCUGUGGAUCGGAGUGAAAGGCUAAUCAAACUCAGUUAUAUCUGGUUCUCCCCGAAAUAUAUUUUGGUAUAGCCUCAUGCGUUCAAUUGCGGCUGUAAAGCACUGUUUGGCCUAGGGGCCCUACCAGGUUACCGAAGUCAGAUAAACUCUGAAUACCGCAAUUCUAGAGCAUGGGAGUCAGACGGCGGGGGAUAAGCUUCGUCGUCGAGAGGGAAACAGCCCAGACCGUCAGCUAAGGACCCAAAGCGAUAGCUAAGUGGUAAACGUUGUACGAAUGCACAGACAACCAGGAUGUUGGCUUAGAGGCAGCCAUACGUUGAAAGAGUGCGUAAUAGCUCACUGGUCAAGUGUUCGUGCGCGGAUAAUGUAACGGGGCUCAAGCUAUCCUCCGAAGCUACGGACUUCAUCUUUGAUGGAGUGGUAGGGGAGCGUUCCGGCAGCAGUGAAGCAGACACGGCAAGUGUCUGUGGAGCGGCCGGAAGUGAGAAUGCUGGCAUAAGUAACGAAAGAGGGGCGAGAAACCCCUCCACUGAAUGCCCAAGGUUUCCUGAGUAAAGCUAAUCUGCUCAGGGUUAGUCGGGACCUAAGCCGAGGCCGAUAGGCGUAGGCGAUGGCCAGCAGGUUGAUAUUCCUGCACUACGUCUUCCACGUUUGACCGAUGGGGGGACGGGGAAGGGUAGACGAACCGUGGCGUUGGUUGUCCACGGACAUUGUCGUAGAGCGAGCUCUAGGAAAAUCCGGAGCUCACAUAGCUCAAGGACCGUGUCAGCCGGCUUCGUGCUGGCGAGUCGUUGAUCCCAUGCCUCCAAGAAAAUCCUCUAGGGAGUGGGAACGUACCCGUACCAAAUCCGACACAGGUGGGCAGGUAGAGCAUACCAAAGUGAUCGAGAGAACCCUCGUUAAGGAACUCGGCAAAAUGGUCCCGUAACUUCGGGAGAAGGGACGCCUCGGUAGAGUGACCGGAUUUACUCCGCGAGCUUGAGGAGGCCGCAGUGAUUUGGCCCAACCGACUGUUUACCAAAAACACAGGUCUCUGCGAAGUCGAAAGACGACGUAUAGGGACUGACGCCUGCCCGGUGCCGGAAGGUCACGCGGAGAGGUUAGCCUUCGGNNNNNNNNNNNNNNNNNNNNNNACGGUCCUAAGGUAGCGAAAUUCCUUGUCGGGUAAGUUCCGACCUGCACGAAUGGCGUAACGAGUUGGGCACUGUCUCAACGAGGGACUCGGUGAAAUUGUAGUGUCGGUGAAGAUGCCGACUACUCGCCACAAGACGGAAAGACCCCGUGAACCUUUACUACAGCUUGAUAUUGGGAUUUGGGACAUCCUGUCCAGGAUAGGUGGGAGGCUGUGAGACGGUGGCGUCAGCUGCCGUGGAGCCAACCUUGGGAUACCACCCUGGAUGUUCUGAAUUUCUAACAG